rnacentral:rRNA from 1 species
UACGUAGGGUGCGAGCGUUGUCCGGAAUUAUUGGGCGUAAAGAGCUCGUAGGCGGUGUGUCACGUCGGCCGUGAAAACCUGGGGCUUAACUCUGGGCGUGCGGUCGAUACGGGCAUCACUAGAGUUCGGCAGGGGAGACUGGAAUUCCUGGUGUAGCGGUGAAAUGCGUAGAUAUUGGGAGGAACACCGGUGGCGAAGGCGGCCCCCUGGACCGGUACUGACGCUGAGGCGCGAAAGCGUGGGUAGCAAACGGG